rnacentral:rRNA from 1 species
UGGGGAAUAUUGCGCAAUGGGCGAAAGCCUGACGCAGCAACACCGCGUGAGGGAUGACGGCCUUCGGGUUGUAAACCUCUUUCAGCUCCGACGAAGCGAAAGUGACGGUAGGAGCAGAAGAAGCACCGGCUAACUACGUGCCAGCAGCCGCGGUAAUACGUAGGGUGCAAGCGUUGUCCGGAAUUAUUGGGCGUAAAGAGCUCGUAGGCGGUCCGUUGCGUCUGCCGUGAAAACCCGGAGCUCAACUCCGGGCCUGCGGUGGAUACGGGCGGACUAGAGUCCGGUAGGGGAGACUGGAAUUCCUGGUGUAGCGGUGGAAUGCGCAGAUAUCAGGAGGAACACCGGUGGCGAAGGCGGGUCUCUGGGCCGGAACUGACGCUGAGGAGCGAAAGCGUGGGGAGCGAACAGGAUUAGAUACCCUGGGUAGUCCACGCUGUAAAACGAUGGGCACUCGGUGCCGCGGGUAUCGACCCCU